ACACACACACACACACACGUGCACAACUAUACUUCCCACACAAACACAUACUCCUACUUCCCACACACACACACAUCUGGUAUCUGGCACAUUUUCUAUCUGGUAUCCUAAUGUGCCCGCUGCGUUCCAUACAGAUGCUAAAGGGGGAUUUUAGCGUCGGUAUCUGACCGAGAGACCAAGAGUCAGUAUUUAACGAGUCAGAAGUGAGAACCAGUUGUCAGUUUGUGCCUCCAUCUCUUUGGUUCUGGUUCUGGUUCUGGUUUCCUGUCACUGAGGGCCUUCUACUUGAUUUCUGUCCUCCGGUGUGGGCCCGACCUGUCUGCUUCAAGCUGUCUGCUUCAGCUGCUAACCCUGCAUGCUGCCUGCUAACGCCACGGCUAACGGGCUCCUGAAUGAUUCACACGAGACGUAGAAACACCUUCAGCUUCUUUCUCUUUCUUUCUCCCGGCUGACCCGCCGCGAGGAAGACAGCGAGCGCUGAAGCAACGGAACCGAGCGUCUUUUUAUUUCUGGGUUUUCGAGAGCGUUCUGGUCCGAGCUGCUUGUGAAUAGCUUAACGUCUUUACACCAAAGUGCCUUCAGGAAGCUGUGUUUUUACCCCAAAACUGUUCUGCUUUUAGCUUUUUGUGUCGAGGAUUUUUUAAAACAAAGGGAUGAAAUCGGAGGAAACAGACAGAAGCUGUGUUUGGAACGGUUUCCCCUCACACACACACACUCCACAGACACACUCUUCACACACAAACACGCACAGACACACACACACAGAAACACACACACACCUCCCCCCCAAUAGAAGUAUUAUGCUAGGGAACAGUUUGUAACACAGCUCGUGUGGACUUGUUGGACCCUUUGUUAAAACUAUUAAACUGUGAUUUGAAUGAAGACUCUACCAGUAAUAAACUGUCAGCCUGAUGUUCUUACAGGAACUACGGUAGUCAUCUUGUGUUUGAUUGAAAUGUUUCAACAUGCAAUAAAUAAAUGAAUAAAUCCAUGUGUGAAACCAGA